rnacentral:rRNA from 1 species
UGAAAAGUGUUGAGAUGAGCUGUGGGUAGGGGUGAAAGGCCAAUCAAACUGGGAAAUAGCUCGUACUCCCCGAAAUGCAUUUAGGUGCAGCGUUUGCGAUAUUAUGUCAUGGAGGUAGAGCUACCAAUAGGGCUAGGGGGCUUCACCGCCUACCAAACCCUGACAAACUCCGAAUGCUAUAAUAUAUACUGAGCAGUGAGGGCAUGGGUGCUAAGGUCCAUGUCCGAGAGGGAAAGAACCCAGACCAUCAGCUAAGGUCCCAAAAUAUAUGUUAAGUUGAAUAAACGAGGUUGAACUGCUUAGACAGCUAGGAUGUUGGCUUGGAAGCAGCCAU